GAUGAACGCUAGCGGCAGGCCUAAUACAUGCAAGUCGAACGAUACCAGAGAGCUUGCUUUCUGGGAAAGUGGCGCACGGGUGCGUAACGCGUAUGCAACCUACCUUAAUCAGGGGGAUAGCCUCUCGAAAGAGAGAUUAACACCGCAUAACAUCAUUUUACGGCAUCGUAGAAUGAUCAAAUAUUUAUAGGAUUAAGAUGGGCAUGCGUGACAUUAGCUAGUUGGUGAGGUAACGGCUCACCAAGGCUACGAUGUCUAGGGGAUCUGAGAGGAUGACCCCCCACACUGGUACUGAGACACGGACCAGACUCCUACGGGAGGCAGCAGUAAGGAAUAUUGGUCAAUGGAGGCAACUCUGAACCAGCCAUGCCGCGUGCAGGAAGACGGCCCUAUGGGUUGUAAACCGCUUUUAUACGGGAAUAAACCUCUCUACGUGUAGGGAGUUGAAUGUACAGUAAGAAUAAGGAUCGGCUAACUCCGUGCCAGCCGCCGCCGUAA
rnacentral:rRNA from 1 species